rnacentral:rRNA from 1 species
GACGAACGCUGGCGGCGUGCUUAACACAUGCAAGUCGAACGGAAAGGCCCUGCUUUUGUGGGGUGCUCGAGUGGCGAACGGGUGAGUAACACGUGAGUAACCUGCCCUUGACUUUGGUAUAACUUCAGGAAACUGGGGCUACUACCGGAUAGGAGCUCCUGCUGCAUGGUGGGGGUUGGAAAGUUUCGGCGGUUGGGGAUGGACUCGCGGCUUAUCAGCUUGUUGGUGGGGUAGUGGCUUACCAAGGAUUUGACGGGUAGCCGGCCUGAGAGGGUGACCGGCGACAUUGGGACUGAGAUACGGACCAGACUCCUACGGGAGGCAGCAGUGGGGAAUAUUGCACAAUGGGCGGAAGCCUGAUGCAGCAACGCCGCGUGCGGGAUGACGGCCUUCGGGUUGUAAACCGCUUUAGCCUGUGACGAAGCGUGAGUGACGGUAAUGGGUAAAGAAGCACCGGCUAACUACGUG